ACGGCUCAGUAACACGUGGAUAACCUGCCCUUGGGUCCGGCAUAACCCCGGGAAACUGGGGAUAAUUCCGGAUAACGCACAUAUGCUGGAAUGCUUUAUGCGUCAAAUGGAUUCGUCUGCCCAAGGAUGGGUCUGCGGCCUAUCAGGUAGUAGUGGGUGUAAUGUACCUACUAGCCGACGACGGGUACGGGUUGUGAGAGCAAGAGCCCGGAGAUGGAUUCUGAGACAUGAAUCCAGGCCCUACGGGGCGCAGCAGGCGCGAAAACUUUACAAUGCGGGAAACCGUGAUAAGGGGACACCGAGUGCCAGCAUCAUAUGCUGGCUGUCCGGGUGUGUAAAAUACACCUGUUAGCAAGGGCCGGGCAAGACCGGUGCCAGCCGCCGCGGUAACACCGGCGGCCCGAGUGGUGAUCGUGAUUAUUGGGUCUAAAGGGUCCGUAGCCGGUUUGGUCAGUCCUCCGGGAAAUCUGACGGCUUAACCGUUAGGCUUUCGGAGGAUACUGCCAGGCUUGGAACCGGGAGAGGUAAGAGGUACUACAGGGGUAGGAGUGAAAUCUUGUAGUCCCUGUGGGACCACCUGUGGCGAAGGCGUCUUACCAGAACGGGUUCGACGGUGAGGGACGAAAGCUGGGGGCACGAACCGGAUUAGAUACCCGGGUAGUCCCAGCCGUAAACGAUGCUCGCUAGGUGUCAGGCAUGGCGCGACCGUGUCUGGUGCCGCAGGGAAGCCGUGAAGCGAGCCACCUGGGAAGUACGGCCGCAAGGCUGAAACUUAAAGGAAUUGGCGGGGGAGCAC
rnacentral:rRNA from 1 species